rnacentral:rRNA from 1 species
UACAGAGGGUGCGAGCGUUAAUCGGAAUUACUGGGCGUAAAGCGUGCGUAGACGGUUAUCUAAGUCGGAUGUGAAAGCCCCGGGCUCAACCUGGGAAUUGCAUUCGAGACUGAAUAGCUAGGGUGCGGUAGAGGGAAGCGGAAUUUCCGGUGUAGCGGUGAAAUGCGUAGAUAUCAGGAGGAACACCGGUGGCGAAGGCGGAUCUCUGGGCCUUACCUGACGCUCAGGCGCCGAAAGCUAGGGGAGCGAACAGG